rnacentral:rRNA from 1 species
AACGAACGCUGGCGGCAUGCCUAACACAUGCAAGUCGAACGAGACCCUCGGGUCCUUUGGCGCACGGGUGCGUAACGCAUGGGAACCUUCCCUUAUGUUCGGACUAACUCCCCGAAAGGGAUGCUAAUACCGGAUAAUGUCUUCUGCCCAAUGCCUUAUCGCCUUUGGUUGGGCCCGCGUUGGAUUAGCUAGUUGGUAGGGUAAAAGCGUAGCAAGGCGGCGUGCCAGGGCUGUUCCGGGAAGAGGAUAAGCCACGCUGGAACUGAGGCACGGCCCAGACUCGUACGGAGGGGAGCAGUAGGGAAUAUUAGGCGAGGGACGCUAGUCUAGUCAAGCAGUGCGGGGUGAGUGGUGAAGGGCGUAGGAUUGUAAUGCUCGUUUAGACGAGGUGAUAGUGACAGUACCGGGAGAAUAAGCUCCGGCUAACUACGUG